rnacentral:pre_miRNA from 1 species
AGAGAGACAAAUUCUAAAUUUUCGUGUCUAACGUUUGAUUGGUCGUCUUAUAUGAAUUUUUUUAAUUAGUAUUUUUAUUGUUGUUAGAUGAUAAAAUAUGAUUAAUACUUUAUGCGUAGCUUGUCUUUUUUAUUUUUUUAUAUUUUUUCAAAUAAAACAGGUGGUCAAACGUUGGACACGGAAACUUGGGUUUAUU